UUUGCACACUGUUAGAGCUCACAGCUGAGGUCAGCUCCUGGCCUGUGAUCUGCUGAGUGUAGGAAGUGUGCUACAUUAAUGUCAGCAGGACUUUUCGCUAGCACCAUAAGGACGUUUGGAGUCCAAUGAAUGGAGUUUGAUAGUGAUUCUUGCCACAGCU